CGAGCGUUGUCCGGAAUUACUGGGCGUAAAGAGCUCGUAGGUGGUUUGUCGCGUUGUUCGUGAAAUCUCACGGCUUAACUGUGAGCGUGCGGGCGAUACGGGCAGACUUGAGUACUGCAGGGGAGACUGGAAUUCCUGGUGUAGCGGUGGAAUGCGCAGAUAUCAGGAGGAACACCGGUGGCGAAGGCGGGUCUCUGGGCAGUAACUGACGCUGAGGAGCGAAAGCGUGGGGAGCGAACAGGAUUAGAUACCCUGGUAGUCCACGCCGUAAACGGUGGGUACUAGGUGUGGGUUUCCUUCCUUGGGAUCCGUGCCGUAGCUAACGCAUUAAGUACCCCGCCUGGGGAGUACGGCCGCAAGGCUAAAACUCAAAGAAAUUGACGGGGGCCCGCACAAGCGGCGGAGCAUGUGGAUUAAUUCGAUGCAACGCGAAGAACCUUACCUGGGUUUGACAUGCACAGGACGCCGGCAGAGAUGUCGGUUCCCUUGUGGCCUGUGUGCAGGUGGUGCAUGGCUGUCGUCAGCUCGUGUCGUGAGAUGUUGGGUUAAGUCCCGCAACGAGCGCAACCCUUGUCUCAUGUUGCCAGCGGGUAAUGCCGGGGACUCGUGAGAGACUGCCGGGGUCAACUCGGAGGAAGGUGGGGAUGACGUCAAGUCAUCAUGCCCCUUAUGUCCAGGGCUUCACACAUGCUACAAUGGCCGGUACAAAGGGCUGCGAUGCCGCGAGGUUAAGCGAAUCCUUUUAAAGCCGGUCUCAGUUCGGAUCGGGGUCUGCAACUCGACCCCGUGAAGUCGGAGUCGCUAGUAAUCGCAGAUCAGCAACGCUGCGGUGAAUACGUU
rnacentral:rRNA from 1 species